GCGUCAGUAGUGUAACUGGUUAGAGCACGCACUCCUCGAUAGGCAGAGAUGUGAGUUCAAGUCCCGGCUGACGCA